GUGGUUUUGUUUUUAGUCAUUUUAGUCAUCGAGCAGUUGUUUACGAAAUUUAGACAGUCAGAAUGUAAAACUCGUGCAGAACUUUUACAAUGUUCAGAUGCUUGAAUCUUCUGCUGCUUUGUCUCGUCUAUCACAGCAAAAUCACAUCUAAACCUGUUUCAGGAAAAAAGGGAGGAAACGUCACACUAACAUGUGAAUCUGAGGCCAAUAAUAUUUUUCAUAUUGAGUUAUUCAGUGAGUCAGAAGACAUAGAUGUGUGUCAAACUGAAGAAUGUAGUGGACGAGCGUUUAAAGAAGGAAACUGUGACGUCGUCAUCAAGAAUCUGAGCUUCAGUGACGCUGGGAAAUACUUUAUGAGAAUCUAUUACAAUAAUGAUCAGACAGAGCUGAAGCGACAAAUCAGGACGUACCAACUUCAUAUUCAUGAUGAGAUUUCUGUGAAAACAGGCGAGGAGCUAAAGAUGUCUGUUCUGUUGUCUAAUGCUGAUAAAGUGGAGACAAGCUCUAGUGGAGAGUGGAGGGAGGUUCAGAGCGAUCGACUGAAUGAAAAUGAUGGGACUCUGACCAUUAAAUCAUUUCUAGACAGUGAUGCAGGAACAUACAGAGUUCUGGACACUGAAGGAGAAAUCUUGAUCACAGUGACAGUCACAGAAUCAAAGGAAAAACUGGACACUGAACAACACAGUAAGUAAAACAGGCAUUGAGAGCUUUACAAAAUCCUCAAGCAAUGAGUUUAAUAAUGAAAAAAAAAAAACAUUAAAAAAAAAAUUUGCUCUUUCCAUCUUCCCCUUUUUCAUAUUUAGGGAACUGGAUUGUGCCAGUUGUAGUGUGUUUGGUGAUUCUGGUGGCUCUGAUUGUGAUUUCUGUCAUCAUAUGGCGAUGUCAGCACAGAGGUCACACACAGGUUUCAGUACAGGAGAAUAAAGAGCACAAACAGGAACUGGAGAAACUAUAAUGAUCUUCACUGAAUGUGACUCAACUGCACAGGGGCCCUGAACACCUGGUGAUGCAAUUUACAACGUUACUGAUGCAAUUUCAACAUAAGUCAACACACUACAUAAGUCAACAUACCCUGCAAACAUGUCCUUUGCAAGCCAUGCUGGCUUUUUGCGGGCACAGUGGGCUAGGGCCAGCCCACACCAAACCUAAACAGGCCCAGUGCGGGCUCGCCCAGGCAAGGCCCACAGCUUUGGGCUCACUGCAGGCUCUCUGUGAGCAGCCUACACUAUGGGACUGCCCACAUUAAUCCAAUGAUGGCCCAGCGUGAGCCAGACAUGAGGCUGUUAAUAAGAAGUUUGUGGGCAGUUUUCUACCUUACCACUAGGGAUGCUAGAGUGUUUUAGGUUUCCUUAAGUAAAGCCAUGUGGUAGAGAGAGUUAGCAAUAACAAGCAGC
ensembl:lncRNA uncharacterized LOC107694382